GAUCGGAUGGCUCAGGACGAACGCUGGCGGCGUGCUUAACACAUGCAAGUCGAACGAAGAGCGAUGGAAGCUUGCUUCUAUCAAUCUUAGUGGCGAACGGGUGAGUAACGCGUAAUCAACCUGCCCUUCAGAGGGGGGACAACAGUUGGAAACGACUGCUAAUACCGCAUACGAUCCAAUCUCGGCAUCGAGGAUGGAUGAAAGGUGGCCUCUAUUUAUAAGCUAUC
rnacentral:rRNA from 1 species